rnacentral:rRNA from 1 species
UACAGAGGGUGCGAGCGUUAAUCGGAAUUACUGGGCGUAAAGCGUGCGUAGACGGUUUCGUAAGUCGGGUGUGAAAGCCCCGGGCUCAACCUGGGAAUUGCAUUCGAGACUGCGUAGCUAGGGUGCGGAAGAGGGAAGUGGAAUUUCCGGUGUAGCGGUGAAAUGCGUAGAUAUCGGAAGGAACAUCAGUGGCGAAAGCGACUUCCUGGACCAAUACUGACGCUCAUGUGCGAAAGCGUGGGGAGCAAACAGG